UGUUGUUAGGACUCAUACACGAUGCCGCUCACCUCCAUCCAGUGCUGGCACGUCCACUGUGAAGAAUGCUGGCUCAGGACUCUGGGAAACAAGAAGCUGUGCCCGCAGUGCAACACCAUCACCUCACCUGGAGACCUGAGGCGUGUCUACUUGUAAAGAGCACACCCCCACCCUGCCCCUCCCGACCUGCGCCGCCUCGUCCUGCCAGUCCAUUCCCCCCUUCUCAUUUUGGAGUUCACCGCCCUCCAUGUCGAUUGUCAUGUUUUCUCCUCUGUCCCGGGCCAGGCUCAGCAGCUCCAAACCACCCCUCCAAGAGCGCACAGAGACGAGACAGCCGUCUUUAAGACUCAUCAGACUCUUUCAGGAGGUUCAAACUGAGAGCUGACUGCCUGGCCACCAACACAAAAAAAAAGAAGAAAGAAAUGACAGAGACUUGAAACCUCACAGAUGGACAGGCUUUUUUCCCUGCCUCGCUGACAUCACCUCCUGUACAUGUAACAUGGGAUGUGCACUGAAGGACCUUUAUUCAGUGGAGAUCCCCGACACCCAGCUCUAAGCCCUGCAGAGAUCUUCAUGCAGCCGGGGCUGGAAGGAACUUCCUAAUACAGAAUAUAAAGACUACUUUUCCCCACUCUAGCUCUUCUUCGACAUUUAAUUGGUGCUGAAGCUUCUUUCUUUUUUUUCUUAUUCGUUCCUUUUUUCCGAAGUGAAAACGUAUCUUCACGGCCCUGUUGAAAGGAGAAUUAAAAAAAAAAAAAAAAAAAAGGGUCUGCCCACUAAAACUGAGCUUUCAACCAAACUGAGAAUAACCUCACAACCUUGAAAAGGAGUGUGACACUCCUCCUCUCCUCCUCCUCCCUUUGUUCCCUCUUUUUGUGGUGUAAUAGUGAAGUAAACCAAAAUUUUCCCUCCUUCAAGAUGCAGUGCAAGCACAUGUAAUAUAGUUCUAUGUAUGUUUACAAUGUUGGGUGUAAAUGACAUAGAGUCCACACACACACACACACACGUACACACACUGCAGACACACACAGAAGUAUAUGAUAUCAAAGUACCUGUUUUUAGUUGGAAGGGUUUGGGAAUGAUGUUUUGGGGGAAAAAAUGGCUGAAAUAAAAAGAAGCCUUCUGUAUUUUUAAAAAGAAGAAAAAUGUUUGAAGGUCCGUUGAAGUUUUAUUUCACUGUACAGGAAUAAAAAAAUCUAAAUAAUAAUAAACUACUCAAGACUA